rnacentral:rRNA from 1 species
UACAGAGGUCCCAAGCGUUGUUCGGAUUUACUGGGCGUAAAGGGUGCGUAGGUGGCGAGGUAAGUUCGAUGUGAAAUCUCCGAGCUCAACUCGGAAAUGGCAUUGAAUACUAUCCCGCUUGAGGGUCGGAGGGGAGACUGGAAUUCUCGGUGUAGCAGUGAAAUGCGUAGAUAUCGAGAGGAACACCGGUGGCGAAGGCGACAUCCUGGACCGGUAUUGACGCUGAGGCGCGAAAGCCAGGGGAGCAAACGGG